CGAGUCCAGUGGCGCCAUGGUUCAUCCGACGACGACGAUCAGUUCUGGCAGCUCUGCUGAUUCUCUAGCAGCGUCUGCAAUUACCUGGAAGGAUUCAGAGAAUAAUGACUCGUUCCUAAGAGUAAAGGCAAGUAAUUUUUUUCCUGCUUGGAUCCUAAUCUGUAUCUGAAGGACUACGAUCUGUACUCAUACCAGAAGCUCUUGUGCAGAUUGUAAACUUUGGAUCUGAUGCUAUUAGAGUUGCAAUCUCCACAGCUGGACUUCAAGCUACCAUCGAUGUGCUGCGAUCGACCGCUACUGUUCUCACAUCAACCGCUGUGAUGGACGAAAACUCUUUCAGUAACCCAAACAAGGUGAUCUGCAAUUUUGGCUACUGGCUAUUAGGGUUUGUUGUUUUGUUCAGCGCCGGGAAAGAGGCAGCGGUGGCACGGACGGGGUUCGAGCCUCCCUACCGCUAUCGAACCAUAGUCCCACUAGAGCCUCUCUAAAAUUAUAAAUGUGCAUAUAUAAAUAUAUAAUAUAGAAGGGGCUUCUGUAGUACAGUGAUUUUGGUUUAGUCGCUCCUAAAUUUUUCUGUCUCCGAUAGGUCUCCUUGCCCUGCUCAUCUGAAUCCAGGGCCCCCUGCUAUGCAUUGUGCAGGUCAUGCCGGUCAAGAGCCAGCUAUUCGACGCAGGAGCGCAGAUGCAAGUCACGCUGUCUCCUCACUCAUUAACAUCUUUCGAUCUUGCUCUGGCUACGUCGAAACUUGUCACGUUGUCUGAUGCCUGAACUGUGAUGCACAUUUGUCUGUAUUUGAGGAGAUGUCAGUGUAGUGUAAAGAGUUGUGUGCUGAUGAUGAACUGAACAAAAAUGACACUGCGAUCCACGUUUUUAUCUGUUUGGAGGUGUCCCUUUCAAAGAAAAAUUUGUGGAGAUGCCACUGCAAUUCCUAUUUUUCAUUCUUUGAAGAUGCCACUAGCAUUCAUGUUUACCUUUCUUCGAAUAUGUCACUAUAGUUCAUGUUAAUCAGGUAAAUCUUCACUAAACAUUUGUCGGAGGACACUAAAACCAUUCCUAUCAAGGGAAUAUUCUAUAUAAAAGAACACGUUUGUGCACAUAUGCACAAACUCAAUCUAGAUCCUUCGUGCAACGAUCGUCUACUGACUUUAUUUAAGAAAAAACACCUUCCACGCUCUUCUCAUCACGGCAGCUUCAUAUUAAAAAAAGAUUAAUUAUAUACAUGCCACUCAAUUUUUACAAAAUUAGACAGCUGGUUUAUUUUGAUGUCAUGGAGUGGCAUUAAAAUAAACUAACCGUCUAUUUUUUUUUAAAAAAAGAUAGUUGCAUGUUUCCAAAUGGCCCUUAAAUAGUGACAUGUAAUUUUAUUUUAUUUUAUUUAUCACGUAAUACAUAAUUUUUAAUGCAACAAAAAAUUAUAUCGUGUAAUUUUCAGGUGUCAAAAUAAAUCAGUACCAAUAGUUAAUUCUGAAAUAAAAAAAACUGAUAUGUCUGUAGGCUAAAGCUGUAGAUUGUUAUAGACUAUGCAUAUGAGAAAUAAGGCUGGUGGCAACGCGGGCGGUAGCGCGAGCGAGAGAGAGAGCCGCUACCGCCCGCGCGUGGGCGAGAGGCGGGCGAGAGAGGGUCGCCGGGCGACGGCGCUCACGCCCGGCGAGAGCGGGCGGUAUCGCCUCGCUCUCGCCCGCGCUGGAGCGCCCGCCCGGGCGAGAGGCGGGCGAGAGGGAGGCGAGAGCGAGGCGAGACACUGGCGGGGCGAGAGAGCGACGUGGGGCGAUCUGACUGGUCCACGUGUCGCGAUCUGAUUGGUCCACGUACGCUAGCCGUUGCAACUAGCCGUUUUUGACCGUUUGGAGUCCAAAAAAUUCGAAAAAAUUGCAAAAAUCACAAAUUUUAAUUAUUACGCAAUUUGUAAUUUUUAAUUCAAUAAAAAAUAUUAUGUUGUGUUUUUCUGAGCGUUGAAAUAAAUCCGCGUGAAUUACUUAAUUCUGAAAUAGAAAAGCUGAUGUGGCUAUAGCCUGAGGCUGUAGCCUGCUGCAGCCUGUGCACUGGAGCAGCAGAGGCGAGAGUGAAGGCGAGAGCUGACGUGGCAGGGGCGAGAGGGAGGCUGUGCACUGGACUCAGCCUAAAAGCGAAAGUGAGUGGAGAGCUGACGUGGCAAGAGGCUGGAGGACUGCACCAUCCUUACCGUUCGCGUGAAGCGGCCUAUCGCACCCGCGACAUUCAGUCGCUGCACUGCCGGUGGCGGUGAUGAAGAUCAUCGCUG
rnacentral:lncRNA from 1 species